rnacentral:rRNA from 1 species
GGUGAACGCUGGCGGUAGGCCUAACACAUGCAAGUCGAACGGCAACACAGUAAGAGCUUGCUCUUACGGGUGGCGAGUGGCGGACGGGUGAGGAAUAUAUCGGAAUCUACUUUUUCGUGGGAGAUCACGUAGGGAAACUUACUCUAAUACCGCAUACGCUCUACGGGUGAAAGCAGGGGAUCUUUUCACCUUGCGCGAUUGAAUGAGCCGAUGUCGGAUUAGCCAGUUGGCGGGGUAAUGGCCCACCAAGGCGACGAUCCGUAGCUGGUCUGAGAGGCUGAUCAGCCACACUGGAACUGGGACACGGUCCAUACUCCUACGGGAGGCCGCAGUGGGGAAUAUUGGACAGUGGGCGGAAGCCUGAUCCAGCCAUACCGCGUGUGUGAAGAAGGCCUUCGGGUUGUAAAGCCCUUUUGUUGGGUAAGAAAAGCAGCAGGUUAAUACCCCGCUGUUCUGACGGUAACCAAAGAAUAAGCACCGGCUAACUUCGUG